UGCCAGACUCCUACGGGAGGCAGCAGUGAGGAAUAUUGGUCAAUGGCCGGAAGGCUGAACCAGCCAUGCCGCGUGAAGGUCAGUGCCCUAUGGGCGUUAAACUUCUUUUGUGCGGGAGCAAUAAUGGUCACGUGUGGCCAGACGAGAGUACCGUACGAAUAAGCAUCGGCUAACUCCGUGCCAGCAGCCGCGGUAAUACGGGGGAUGCGAGCGUUAUCCGGAUUUAUUGGGUUUAAAGGGUGCGCAGGCGGAGGUGCAAGUCAGCGGUCAAAUUGCGGGGCUCAACCCCGUACUGCCGUUGAAACUGCAUCCCUUGAGUGCGCGAGAAGUAUGCGGAAUGCGUGGUGUAGCGGUGAAAUGCAUAGAUAUCACGCAGAACUCCGAUUGCGAAGGCAGCAUACCGGCGCGCAACUGACGCUCAUGCACGAAAGCGUGGGUAUCGAACAGGAUUAGAUACCCCCGUA
rnacentral:rRNA from 1 species